GGAGCAACGAGGCUGGUGAAGAGAGCACAGAGGAAUAGGCCAGUCCAUAGAAGGCCUUCUAAGAGAGAGGGUGUCCGGUCUGACAGCCAGCAGUGUGAAGACUUGGAAUUUGGCUACAAUCACUGAGUCCAAAGCAUCUGGAAAACAGGUCUUUGACCAUGCUCUUCACUUCUUCAAUGAUUACGGAUAUAUUCAGGCUCCUAAUUUAUAUUGCUCCUAAUUUUUUGCCCAGAAUUUGUCUGCUUAUCCAGUUUUCAUAUUGUUGAUCUGUAAGGAUGCUUGAAAAGCUCGCCGCUCAUGGAUCUGACUCUGUCCCCGUGAGGUACACAGGGAUUUCUGCCCUGCUGACUCUGUUUAAUUCGGGCAGACUUCCCCUGGCUUUCACACACGGGUGGUCUUGUGAAGUCUCCUGUGAGCUCAGGAAAGACACUCCAGAGCCUGUCGACGGACAUUCUCAUGAAUAUAAAUACUGCAUGGGGUGCCUUCGUUUGCUGUGGGAGCUCAGUUUUUGUGAGAUGAGCAGCAAUCUUCAGCACACCCUCCAUGGUCCCCAUUUUCCUCCCAGGUAACUCAGCUGCUCUGCAUCCCACAGCUCUGCUUGGGAACAUGUUUUUGCCAUCUUUUUUUUUUUUUUCAACUAAAAUGACUAAUUUUUGUCCCUUACAACAGAUUUGCUUUGAAUUUCAUCUUCUUCCUUCUGAUAUUGAAUUUAUUGGACUCUAUUUUGUUACUGUCCUGCACUUCCCCUCCCCCGAUUUCUUUGGUUUCAUCUCUCUGGAAUGCAGACUGCUAGAUUUCUUUCUGUUUUGCACUUUUUGAAGUU